rnacentral:rRNA from 1 species
AAGCAGUCAGACUACGAGUGCCAAGGUCCGUGGUCAAAAGGGAAACAGCCCAGAUCGUCAGCUAAGGUCCCAAAAUGAUACUAAGUGGAAAAGGAAGUGGAGAUGCAUAAACAGCUAGGAGGUUGGCUUAGAAGCAGCCAUCCUUUAAAGAGUGCGUAAAAGCUCACUAGUCGAGUGCUUCUGCGCCGAAGGUGUAACGGGGCUAAGUAUCAUACCGAAGCUACGGAUUUAUAGUUUACUAUAAGUGGUAGGGGAGCGUUUUAUAGACGAUGAAGCCAUACUGUAAGGAGUGGUGGAGACUAUAAAAGUGAGAAUGCCGGUGUAAGUAACGAAAAGAUAGGUGAGAAUCCUAUCCGUCGAAAACCUAAGGAUUCCAGGGGAAGGCUCGUCCGCCCUGGGUAAGUCGGGACCUAAGGAGAGGCUUAAAAGCGUAUCCGAUGGACAUCAGGUUUAGAUUCCUGAACUACUUUUUUAAGAGAUGGAGUGACAAAGGAGGCGAACUUCUGCUUUUUAUUGGAUUAAAGUCGAGAUAGUAAGGCCGUAUGAUAGGCAAAUCCGUCAUACAUUAAGGAGUAACUAUGUUAGGUAAAAGAAGAGGUAGUCAAACUUUCGAGAAAAGCUUCUAUCGCUAAUUAAGAAAGUACCCGUACCAAAACCGACACAGGUAGGUAGGUAGAGAAUACUAAGACGCGCGAGAUAACACUUGUUAAGGAACUCGGCAAAAUGACCCCGUAACUUAGGGAUAAGGGGGGCUCGUAAUGUAAAAAGCGAGCCGCAGAGAAUAGGUCCAAGCGACUGUUUAUCAAAAACACAGGUUUCUGCAAAAUCGAAAGAUGAAGUAUAGGAGCUGACGCCUGCCCGGUGCUGGAAGGUUAAGAAGGAUUGUUAGGAAACGAAGCAUGAAUUUGAAGCCCCAGUGAACGGCGGCCGUAACUAUAACGGUCCUAAGGUAGCGAAAUUCCUCGUCGGGUAAAUUCCGACCCGCACGAAAGGCGUAACGAUUUGGACGCUGUCUCAACAAGUGACUCGGUGAAAUCAAGCUGCCGGUGAAAACGCCGGCUAACCGCGACAGGACGAAAAGACCCCAUGGAGCUUUACUACAACUUGAUAUUGAUUUUUGGUAAUAGAUGUAGAGGAUAGGUGGGAGACUUUGAAGGUAGCGCGCUAGCGUUGCUGGAGUCGCCGUUGGAAUACCACCCUUUUAUUAUUAAGGAUCUAACUUACUAAAGUGGAUUUAGAAGGACAGUGUCUGGUGGGUAGUUUGACUGGGGCGGCCGCCUCCUAAAGAGUAACGGAGGCGCCCGAAGGUUCCCUCAGAAUGGUCGGAAAUCAUUCACAGAGCGCAAAGGUAGAAGGGAGCUUGACUGCAAGAGUUACAACUCAAGCAGGUACGAAAGUAGGGCUUAGUGAUCCUGCGGUUCCGCGUGGAAGGGCCGUAGCUCA